CUCGCCGCCGUCGGCUACGAGCUCCGUCGUUGACAACCCGCCCCGGAUCCGGCCUCGGAUCUCCCUAUUUCGGCCGGUCCCCGCCAGGGCUGCCUCGCCGGAGCCCCUCCCCAAGCAGCGCCGCCGUCCCUGCCUCCUGCUCGUGCGCGACGAGGGGAUCUGGCAAGCCAGAUGCUGGCAUGCGCGCGGAGGGUGCGAGCGCGGAUCUGCGGGCUGCUAGCGCGGGUGGGAGCCAUGAGGACGGAGAAAGAUGUCCCCAACGCGGUAGCUCGCUGGGAGAGGAGGGGCGGCGGGAGGAGGUGCCGGCUGACACGGAGGAGCGCCACCAUGUCCUUCUGUAAAGGGCCAUGAAAGAACCCAGACUCCUUCUGCGAGGACGACACCCCCAGUCUGGCCACUUCAAGUGAAGAAGAGGAAGAAGAGUAAGGACUAGACUAGUAUCUUGUUGUCGGCUUAUAUAUUCCCUAUGUUUGAUACUUUCUCAUUAUUACAUAUAGCUGAUAUAAUGUUGUCUCUUAAUGAUUAUCUGGUGUCGUUUACACAUUUGGUUA